GGAUUACGUAGGGCUGAGAGGCGGGGUUGGGAGGUGCGGUGACCGGUUCUAGCAGCAAGUGGAAGAGAAAUGGUAUCUUCCUCCAGCAGAGCUAAGCGACUGGAUCCGUGGACUGGGCCACCGAAUGUUCCAAACCACGAAAUGGCCUUUGGGCCCUGCUUCAGGCUGCUACUCACCAGGACGACACUAGCGAGGAGGAAGAAACCCAAACUCCUGGGGAGAUGAAAAGUGAUGGAGUGAAGGAUUCUGGAAAAAAAAAAAAAAAAA